AAAAACACAAAAGGUUUCGUUCUGUUAAAGCCCACAAGCGAACUUGCAAAGCGGGAGAGAAAAACACGAAGAUAUAUCAUAUCAUUUAUAUUCAGAGAGAGAAGAAGCUUCAGAUACAAACGAUUUUUCUCUUCUAUUCAUUCGUCAAAAAAGAGUCUCUUAAACACACAAUUUUCUUCUCCACCCAUACUUUUCUCGAUCUGUUCUCCGAUUACCACCACCACCACCACCGAUUUUUAUCCGAUCCGUAACUUUUCCUUUUCUCAUUCGUUUCUCGGUAAUUUUCCUUUCUUUCUUCUUCUUCCGCGUUGUGUUUUUCUGUUACUCUUUGGUUAA